CCCGGCAUGCUGCAAUUCAUGGGGUCACAAAGAGUCGGACACGACUUAUCGACUGAACUGAACGUAAGGAAGGGCUUCGGAGCUGCCAAGGAAAGCCUCUUAAACUACAGAGUUCCCCACACCCCUUUUUAAAAACUUGUGAACUAUACCAUACGUUCAGACAAGUACAAAAACACACAUUUACAGUUUAAAACUAAAAUUAAUACCAGCACUCAUGGAACCGUCACGAGGCAAAGACAUACAAUAUUGCCAGUGCUCCAGAAGUCCGCCCUUGUGCCCCUCCCCCGCCCCCCACACUUGUCUAUAUCUUGUGUGGAAAUUCAGGUAAGCGCUUUCCUGCUAAACAAACCUGAGAAACACUGAGAUGUUUUUCCAGAAUGCCCCGCCCCGCAUACUCGAAGCAUCCAAUCACACACGGUCUUCUUGCGAGAUGGUGACGCUCCAAGCCCUCCCCCCACACUCACAGCAUCCAAUCACACACGGUCUUCUUGCGAGAUGAUGAUGCUCCAGAACUUAGCUCGUAUCCGACCCUGCCUCCUAGUCCACUGAUGGGUUAGGAAGAAGUGUUUGUAGGCAGGAUCUUCUUGCAUUUUCAGGCAAAUGGCCCCAGCCACUCCAGGCUCUUCAGUCUUCUGACCUUCUGCUACCCCAUAAAGAGAAAGUGCCUCUUUUCUCAUAUGUUCAGCAAAAGUCUGGGUGCUGAUGCUGUUUGACUGAACCCUCUCCCUCUGUGGUAAGACCCCUGAACGCAUGGGG